AUUGAACGCUGGCGGCAGGCUUAACACAUGCAAGUCGAGCGGGGACUUCGGUCCUAGCGGCGAACGGGUGAGGAAUGCUUGGGAAUCUGCCCAGUAGCGGGGGAUAACGUUUCGAAAGGAACGCUAAUACCGCAUACGCCCUACGGGGGAAAGGGGGGGAUCUUCGGACCUCUCACUAUUGGAUGAGCCCAAGUCGGAUUAGCUAGUUGGUGGGGUAAAGGCCUACCAAGGCGACGAUCCGUAGCUGGUCUGAGAGGAUGAUCAGCCACACUGGAACUGAGACACGGUCCAGACUCCUACGGGAGGCAGCAGUGGGGAAUAUUGGACAAUGGGCGAAAGCCUGAUCCAGCCAUGCCGCGUGUGUGAAGAAGGCCUUCGGGUUGUAAAGCACUUUGAGCGAGGAGGAAUGGCUGAGGGUUAAUAACCUUCAGCAGUGACGUUACUCGCAGAAUAAGCACCGGCUAACUCUGUGCCAGCAGCCGCCGUAAUAC
rnacentral:rRNA from 1 species